UGCUGCUGCCAUAGACUAUGCAUAGACUGAAUGUCUGUGUCCGCCAAAUUCAUAUGCUGAAAUCUUAACCCCCAAUGUGACGGUGUUUGGAGGUGGGGCCUCUAGGAGGCGAUGAAGCCGUGAGGGCAGAGCCUUCAUGCAUGGGAUUAGUGCUCUCACAAAAGAGACCCCAGAGUGCAUUCUCGGCCCUUCUACCACGUGAGGACACAUAGAAAAGACAGCAUCUAUGAACCAGGAAGAGGGUCCUCAUCACACACCAAAUCUGCCAGCGCCUUGAUCUUGGCCUUCCAGCCUCCAGAACUAACUCCUUGUUUCCGGGAGGAUGAACCAGGAUCCAGAAGAGAGUAGGAAGGAAAAGAGCUUUAUCCAGCCAGGAAGCUCACAGCCAUUGAGUACCUCCUGUGUGACAGACGGGGCUCCAGGACUGCAAAGGUCUGGAAUUUGGGAGCAGCUUGGCUGAGCGAUUCUGAUACAGGGUCUCUCAGGGGCUUGCAGUCAAGAUAUCGGCAGGGGCUGCAGUCAUCUGAAGGCUUGACCCGGGCUGGAGGAGCCACUUCCACGACGUUGGUGGGAGGCCUGAGUUUCUCUCUAUGCGCGCCUCUCCCAGAGCUGCUCAAGUGUCCUCAAGACAUGACGGCUGGCUUCCCCCAGAGGAAGCUGUUCAAGAGAGCAAGGUAGAAGCAACAAUGCCUUUUAUGACCUACCUCCAGAAGUCACACAGCAUCUCAUCUGCCACAUUCUCAGUCAGAAGUGAGUCACUAAACCAAUUCUGCCUCCCAGUCUGGGAGCGGGGAAUUAGGCUCCACCUUUUGAAGGGAGGAGGGUCAAGAAUUUGUGGAUAUAUUUGUUUUGGUGAGGAAGAUUGGCCCUGAGCUAACAUCUGUUGCCAAUCUUCCUCUUUUUUUUCAUGAAGAAGAUUAACCCUGAGAUAAGAUCUGUGCCAAUCUUCCUCUAUUUUGUAUGUGGGUCACUGCCACAGCAUCGCUGAAGAAUGGUGUGGGUCCGGGCCUGGGAUCUGAACCUGUGAACCCAGGCCGCCGAAGCAGAGCAUGCCCAACUUAACCACUACGCCACGGGGCUGGCUCCUGGAUAUAUUUUGAAACCAAACACCAGGUGAUGAUAGAGCUGAAGAUCCAAACAAGGGAUGGUGAGACAACUUACAGAUUAACGAGAGCAGAAAGACCCCAACCCACUUAGGACUGGAGGAAAGAAGGGAGGAAGUGGGGUUACCGGAUCCCAGGAGCCAGGACCACCCAGUGGAAACUGGAACUUCAGAGGAGCUGCAGGUUUGAAGACAGCCGCUAACGGCGACGCUUCCCAAAGCAGAGAGGGAGACAAACACUCUAGCUCCUUCCUUCCUCUCCCCUCUAGUCUUCCAUCAGUGCCUGCAACUGGCAGGAUCUUCCAGGAAGCAGAGUGCAAGGGAGCCUGGAAAACUUAGUUUCUUGUGAUGCAGAGGUGAGCAGAGAGGGCUGGGAUGGAUCUGAGAUCAAAUGAGUAAAGGACUAGCAUGGAGCCCCCCAAAAUGGCUGAUUUGAUUAGAUGGUGAUAUUGUGGUUAAAUUUGUCUUGAAUUCUGAUUAUUUUUACAUAUUAAUAUUGUUUUCAAUAAAAUGACAUUUUAAAACUGAA